UCCGGUUUGUCACCGGCAGUCUCCCUAGAGUUCCCACCAUUACGUGCUGGCAACUAGGGACAAGGGUUGCGCUCGUUGCGGGACUUAACCCAACAUCUCGCGACACGAGCUGACGACAGCCAUGCAGCACCUGUCUCGCGGCUCCCGAAGGCACCCGCCCAUCUCUAAGGCUUUCCGGUGUAUGUCAAACCCAGGUAAGGUUCUUCGCGUUGCAUCGAAUUAAUCCGCAUGCUCCGCCGCUUGUGCGGGCCCCCGUCAAUUCCUUUGAGUUUUAGCCUUGCGGCCGUAGUCCCCAGGCGGCGGACUUAAUGCGUUAGCUGCGGCGCCGAGGGGGUCGAUACCCCCGACACCUAGUCCGCAUCGUUUACGGCGUGGACUAC
rnacentral:misc_RNA from 1 species